AAUCCAUGAUGUGGGUACCACCUAAGAAGGUCUUUAAAUCAUUCAUGUGCCUCAAAUAGAGUUCAAAUUCUCCUUGUUUAAAUACCGAGAUCUCAUGUCUGAUCUU